CCUACGGGAGGCAGCAGUGAGGAAUAUUGGUCAAUGGGCGAGAGCCUGAACCAGCCAAGUCGCGUGAGGGAGUACUGCCCUAUGGGUUGUAAACCUCUUUUGUCGGGGAGCAAAAGCCGGACGUGUCCGGCUGUGAGAGUACCCGAAGAAAAAGCAUCGGCUAACUCCGUGCCAGCAGCCGCGGUAAUACGGAGGAUGCGAGCGUUAUCCGGAUUUAUUGGGUUUAAAGGGUGCGUAGGCGGAUUUUUAAGUCAGCGGUAAAAUCGUGGGGCUCAACCCCAUCCAGCCGUUGAAACUGGGGAUCUAGAGUGUGCGAGAGGUAUGCGGAAUGCGUGGUGUAGCGGUGAAAUGCAUAGAUAUCACGCAGAACCCCGAUUGCGAAGGCAGCAUACCGGUGCACAACUGACGCUCAGGCACGAAAGCGUGGGUAUCGAACAGGAUUAGAUACCCCGGUAGUC
rnacentral:rRNA from 1 species